GCUACGGAAUAGUCCCGGGAAACUGGGUUUAAUACCGUAUGUGCCCUUCGGGGGAAAGAUUUAUCGGCAAAGGAUCGGCCCGCGUUGGAUUAGGUAGUUGGUGGGGUAAUGGCCUACCAAGCCGACGAUCCAUAGCUGGUUUGAGAGGAUGAUCAGCCACACUGGGACUGAGACACGGCCCAGACUCCUACGGGAGGCAGCAGUGGGGAAUCUUAGACAAUGGGGGCAACCCUGAUCUAGCCGUGCCGCGUGAGUGAUGAAGGCCUUAGGGUUGUAAAGCUCUUUCAGCUGGGAAGAUAAUGACGGUAC
rnacentral:rRNA from 1 species